CCAACUAUUUCUGUUCCACAACACAGUAAGAACAAAGAGGAAUAAGCUACUACCCUCCCGCACCGCCUCUCCACGCUCUUCUCCACUUUAGCUCAUGGCUAACUCAAUGAGCCCUGCGCAGAUGGUCCCAUAACGCCGCCGCAGCUGUACGGCUGUAAAACGACGCCACGCCCCAGCGAGGAGGAGGUUGAUAUACAUUCAGAUAUUCAAAUGAGGCCAUAACCUCUCUCUCUCUCUCCGCCGUGCUUCGCUGGAAGUGGAAGAGAGGUGUGGGAGGAGAACGAGGAUGGAGGGGGGUGGAUGGAGGUUGGAUAAGGAUGAUGAAGAGCAAGAAAGCGGCAAGACCUUAGAUAAAAGAGAGGCAGGGUGAAGGAAGAGAGAUCUGAUGUUUCCUCGAUUGGCAAAGAAAAGUCGCAGCUUUUCUCCCCCCCCAGACCGGUUCCAAUCUGGACCGCAUGGAUCCGUGGCACCGGAUCAGCUCCUAAGGUCUGCAAGAGACGUCUUUAUCUGAAUGCUCUAAAAAAAAUAAAAAGCACCGGGGUGACUAAGUCAAUCUUGCGUCAUUCAUCUGAAACAAUCGUCAUAAGGUUUGGCACAGAGGCGGCUUGAUUGAGCCAAGAGGAAACUAGACAGGAAAGAAAGCCAAAAAGUGAGUUGGUUGGUAUUUGGGGAGACGCCUCGAUCCAGAAAAAGAAGGAAUGUGCCGCAAUCGGUAUUAAAAUGUGUUGGAAUUCGGGCAGCGGAGUGGAUACAAACAGCCAUGUCUUCGUUUUGAUGACUCUUUUUCAGGAUUAUUGGCAGCGUAAUGGGGUUACAACCUGUCAUAAACAAACUGUGAUCCAAGAGAAGUCGAAUUUAAGCAAAAA